GUGACGUUCAAAUUUGGUCAUUAAAAACAGUCUUUGUGACCACCUGGUCUUCAUACACUUUGGGGAAAACAGUAAUGUUGUUUAGUGUUACAGUUCAAACGGAGAGCAAAUAAAAGUCAACUUGCUCGUUUGAUGGUUAACUAAGAACUAUUUCUUUUGUCAGAAGGCAUAGGCUACUAUGCCUAGGAAGCAAAGUUCUGCUGAGGCAAAAUCUGUUGUUUGGAAGGCAUAGCGUACUACAUUUAGUCAUUUUGUCUUUUUCCUCAACCAUUUAUUCGUGUGCUUAUUAAAUACAAUUGUUAGCAAAUUCAUACAUUCAAUUAAUCUCCUACUGAGUGGAUUUUCUUUUGAUUUUUCAAACGAUUUUUACUUAUUAAGCAUCAAUUCACUUCGUAAACUGGCUGAACUGGAUGAGUGAACAUCCAAAACCAAUUCCUGGGAUUGUAUUUAUAGACAUAACUUCAACGUACACAGUGAACUGAUGCUUAAUUUAACCUUCCAUUGAGUUUCUAUAUUUCUUUAAAUACUGUUGAUGAAUGCACUGUGGUUUUGGGUGUAUUUUAAGCUACAUUGCUAACAAUAAGCUAAUUAAAAAAUCAUAUUUAUUAUAACUUAAAAUAAGCUUCUUUGAGCGUAAGUCACACUACAAGGCCUAUACGUAAAUCAUGCUUAGUCUUAAGCUAGUCUUAAGGCAUCAAAUAAAGCACAAAGCAUUGAGUCAUUUCAAUCUUUUGAACUCCUGAAUUAAGCGAAUUCGUCCUACAGUUGCGUUGUACUGCCAUAUACAAGUUUUGAAGUUGACUUUACAAUCUCAUAUACAGUAUAUUUUAGUCUAAUCCGUACCAGUUACGUAUAGGUUUGGAGCUGAAACGGCUGUUCUUGAAAAAAUUGUUCAAUUUAUCAUUUUUCCUAACAUACAUAUCUAUUGAUUGGAAAUGUUUCAAAAUGAGCUGACAUGAAUUUUUGUUUUAUGUAUUGUUGUAUUCAAAACGGGACAUUUAUUUAAGCUAAAAAAAAAAAACGAAAAGAUUAAACAGAAAUUAUUCGAAAUUUAAUGAUUAUUCAAAAAAACACUCACACUUUUUGGAAUUAUUUAAGAAGGUAAAGCAAACACCGAACAGGUGUUUUAGGACGAUAGACAUGUACUGUACAAUUUCGUACAACAAGACUGACAUUCCAGUUUGUAUUUCGACACCAUUUUUUACACCCCCGUGCACUUCUGCUUGCGGAAUUUAGAGUACGUGUGACCGCCAUCGCACCAAUUCAUCAAGCUUCCAUGCGCUUACAUUGUGCAACCACCAUACUGACCAGGCUCGUACCAGACGCAGUAAAGUAGGCCUUGCAGUUGAAGGUUUCGCUAUUUUGCUCACCAUCGCCCAUCGUCCCUGUCACCCAUAGUGGCCAGUGUGAUCACUCUUGCCAGUGACUCUCUCAAUGCCAUUCGUUAUUGUGCGCGAGGCGCGCUACGGUUUUUCACUACUCCGAGUCCGAAAUACCAACCCGUACCCGUCCGUGCAAUUACCGUGGGAACUAUCGGAAUGCGGACCAAUUAAUUCUCACCGGUGUGUGAAACUAUUAGCACCUUCUUCGUUUGGACUGCAUCAGCAGCAGCAGCAGCAGCGGCGGCAAACUCCGAACCGACCGCGAGGCCGCUGGAUCCAACUGGAGCAGAAGAGAGUAGAUCGAAGCUAGCCGCGGCUAGGAUUCCUUCGAAUAACCACGGAAUGGUAGCCCGGCUCAAGAUUAAAGACACUAGAGAUUGAAGAAAAGGAUGGAGACGAAGAAACAACAUAAUCCCCUGCGCCGAACAAAAUGGCGGCUAGGUCUUGUAGCGCUCUACCGUCCGUCUAGCCGUAGCCUACUGUGGGGAACUUUUGUUCAUGUGCACUAGUGCGUGUGUGUGGAAAAUGGAAACUUUCACCACGGAACAGACGCGCUCGAUGAUGAUGAACGGGCCCGAUUCCCCGAAGGCCGCGGGAGAUAAUCGAUAAAGGCCAAGGCAAGGGUAGCCUUUACUAGUUCAGUGAACGGGAAACAAAAUGCCAACCAAACCUUCAAAACCUUCGGUAGUAGCGUGCUAUUAAUCUAGCCGCGUUCACCACUCUCCAACAACGAACACGAAAGGGAGGAGAAAAAUUACAAAAAAAAUCGACAAUUUUUGCUCUUGUUA